rnacentral:rRNA from 1 species
CAGCACCUCAAGUGGUCAGGAUGAUUAUUGGGCCUAAAGCAUCCGUAGCCGGCGCUGUAAGUUUUCGGUUAAAUCUGUACGCUCAACGUACAGGCUGCCGGGAAUACUGCAGCGCUAGGGAGUGGGAGAGGUAGACGGUACUCGGUAGGAAGGGGUAAAAUCCUCUGAUCUAUUGAUGACCACCUGUGGCGAAGGCGGUCUACCAGAACACGUCCGACGGUGAGGGAUGAAAGCUGGGGGAGCAAACCGGAUUAGAGACCCGAGUAGUCA